GCUUACGGCCAUACCUCUCUGGCUCCGCCUGAUCUCGUCUGAUCUCAGAAGCUAAGCAGAAGUAGGGCCUGGUUAGUACUUGGAUGGAAGAACGCCUGGGAAUCCCAGGUGCCGUAAGCU
ensembl:rRNA 5S_rRNA 5S ribosomal RNA